AGAGUUUGAUCAUGGCUCAGAGUGAACGCUGGCGGCAGGCCUAAUACAUGCAAGUCGAACGGCAGCACAGCAGAGCUUGCUCUGUGGGUGGCGAGUGGCGGACGGGUGAGGAAUACGUGGGAAUCUGCCCAGUCGUGGGGGAUAACGUAGGGAAACUUACGCUAAUACCGCAUGCGCCCUUCGGGGGAAAGCCGGGGACCUUCGGGCCUGGCGCGAUUGGAUGAGCCCACGUCGGAUUAGCUAGUUGGCGGGGUAAAGGCCCACCAAGGCGACGAUCCGUAGCUGGUCUGAGAGGAUGAUCAGCCACACUGGAACUGAGACACGGUCCAGACUCCUACGGGAGGCAGCAGUAGGGAAUAUUGGACAAUGGGCGCAAGCCUGAUCCAGCCAUGCCGCGUGAGUGAAGAAAGCCCUCGGGUUGUAAAGCUCUUUUGUCCGGAAAGAAAAGCGCCGGGUUAAUACCCUGGUGUCCUGACGGUACCGGAAGAAUAAGCACCGGCUAACUUCGUG
rnacentral:rRNA from 1 species